CGAAAACUAUUUAGGUAGUGCCUCAAGUAUUACCUGCGGGGGUAGAGCACUGUUUAGGCUAGGGGGUCAUGGCGACUUACCAACCCUAGGCAAACUCCGAAUACCGCAGAGUACAGCUUGGGAGACAGAGCACCGGGUGCUAACGUCCGGACUCAAGAGGGAAACAACCCAGACCGCCAGCUAAGGUCCCUAAAAUUGGCUAAGUGGGAAACGAAGUGGGAAGGCUAAAACAGUCAGGAUGUUGGCUUAGAAGCAGCCAUCAUUUAAAGAAAGCGUAAUAGCUCACUGAUCGAGUCGUCCUGCGCGGAAGAUGUAACGGGGCUAAGCCAGUUACCGAAGCUGCGGAUUUGCAAUUUAUUGCACGUGGUAGGAGAGCGUUCUGUAGGCCUGUGAAGGUGUCUGGUAACGGAUGCUGGAGGUAUCAGAAGUGCGAAUGCUGACAUGAGUAGCGUUAAAGGGGGUGAAAAGCCCCCUCGCCGUAAGCGCAAGGUUUCCUACGCAACGUUCAUCGGCGUAGGGUGAGUCGGCCCCUAAGGUGAGGCAGAGAUGCGUAACUGAUGGGAAACAGGUCAAUAUUCCUGUACCGCUCAAUAGUGCGAUGUGGGGACGAAGAAGGUUAGCUCAGCUGUCUGUUGGAAUAGGCAGUUCAAGCUUGUAGCCGUGCUCGGUAGGCAAAUCCGCCGAGCUUAGGUGAGGAGUGAUAACGAGGGUGCAUGCACCUGAAGUGAGUGAUACCCUGCUUCCAGGAAAAGCCACUAAGCUUCAGCUAUUGAGUGACCGUACCGCAAACCGACACUGGUGCGCGAGAUGAGUAUUCUAAGGCGCUUGAGAGAACUCAGGAGAAGGAACUCGGCAAAUUGAUACCGUAACUUCGGGAGAAGGUAUGCCCCAAGUAGGUGAACUCGUACAGAGGGAGCCCAAAGGGGUUGCAAAAAAUCGGUGGCUGCGACUGUUUAAUAAAAACACAGCACUCUGCAAACACGAAAGUGGACGUAUAGGGUGUGACGCCUGCCCGGUGCUGGAAGAUUAAAUGAUGGGGUGCAAGCUCUUGAUUGAAGUCCCAGUAAACGGCGGCCGUAACUAUAACGGUCCUAAGGUAGCGAAAUUCCUUGUCGGGUAAGUUCCGACCUGCACGAAUGGCGUAACGAUGGCCACACUGUCUCCUCCUGAGACUCAGCGAAGUUGAAAUGUUUGUGAUGAUGCAAUCUCCCCGCGGAAAGACGGAAAGACCCCAUGAACCUUUACUGUAGCUUUGUAUUGGACUUUGAACAGAUCUGUGUAGGAUAGGUGGGAGGCUUUGAAGUGAGGACGCUAGUUCUCAUGGAGCCAACGUUGAAAUACCACCCUGGUGUGUUUGAGGUUCUAACCUAGGUCCAUUAUCUGGAUCGGGGACAGUGCAUGGUAGGCAGUUUGACUGGGGCGGUCUCCUCCCAAAGUGUAACGGAGGAG
rnacentral:rRNA from 1 species